UACGUAGGGGGCAAGCGUUGUCCGGAUUUAUUGGGCGUAAAGAGCGUGUAGGCGGCCAGGCAGGUCCGCUGUGAAAACUCGAGGCUCAACCUCGAGAGGUCGGUGGAAACCGUUUGGCUAGAGUCCGGAAGAGGAGAGUGGAAUUCCCGGUGUAGCGGUGAAAUGCGCAGAUAUCGGGAAGAACACCCGUGGCGAAGGCGGCUUCCUGGUCUGCGACUGACGCUGUGGCGCGAAAGCUAGGGGAGCAAACGGG
rnacentral:rRNA from 1 species